rnacentral:pre_miRNA from 1 species
UUACUACUCCCUCCGUCCGGAAAUACUUGUCCUAAAAAUGCAUAUAAUAGAUGUAUCUACAAUUAAAAUAAGUCUAGAUACAUUCAUCUCUAGAACAAGUAUUUUCGGACGGAGGUAGUAUUAA